ensembl:snoRNA T26H10.10 ncRNA
UCCCGACUAAAACGACUUUGAAAAAAACUUUGAAAGGUUUGACAAAAGUCUCUAUUGGGAAUUUGAAUAUUUGAACUUGUCAGUUUUACCCAGAACUCUAAAAUGUAAGAAACAUCAAACCCUCAAGUUGCUCAGAUGUUUCGUUGCAAAACUGCUCCCAAGACGAUGAUAAAGUAUUCUGAACUUGAAGUGCAGAUCUAUGUCUGAAAAUGGACAAUGUACACUUUCUUCAACAC